rfam:Candidatus Caedibacter acanthamoebae, complete genome.
GGAUGGGUGGCCGAGCGGUUGAAGGCACCGGUCUUGAAAACCGGCAAGGGUGUAAGCUCUUCGUGGGUUCGAAUCCCACCCCAUCCG